GACGUAGGGCGCGAGCGUUGUCCGGAUUUAUUGGGCGUAAAGAGCUCGUAGGCGGCUUGUCGCGUCGACUGUGAAAACCCGCGGCUCAACGUGCGGCUGCAGUCGAUACGGGCAGGCUAGAGUUCGGUAGGGGAGACUGGAAUUCCUGGUGUAGCGGUGAAAUGCGCAGAUAUCAGGAGGAACACCGGUGGCGAAGGCGGGUCUCUGGGCCGAUACUGACGCUGAGGAGCGAAAGCGUGGGGAGCGAACAGG
rnacentral:rRNA from 1 species